rnacentral:rRNA from 1 species
UACGUAGGGUGCAAGCGUUGUCCGGAAUCAUUGGGCGUAAAGCGCGCGUAGGUGGUCAUGUAAGUCCGCUGUGAAAGUCAAAGGCUCAACCUUUGAAAGCCGGUGGAUACUGCAUGACUAGAGUACGGAAGAGGCGAGUGGAAUUCCUGGUGUAGCGGUGGAAUGCGCAGAUAUCAGGAGGAACACCAAUAGCGAAGGCAGCUCGCUGGGACGUUACUGACACUGAGGCGCGGAAAGCGUGGGGAGCGAACAGG